GGACUGGGGCUGUGUGGAGCCUCUUCUCAUUUCUAAGCCACUUGCAGACGGAGAAGUAAGAAAUUUCUGCAAUCAGAAAUGAGGAGAAAAUAGAUCUAUUAGGUCCACUAAUCUGUUACCCUUGCCAAUGCAGUGUGUUCUCUCCAGAGACCUAUCAAGUGCCUCGUUCAGCACAGUUUUAGCUAUUCAAGUGAUGCUGCUUCUGCCAUGCCCCGUGGGAGACUGCUAGGAACGCUCUACAAGACAAAGGCAUCUUUCCAAUUUCAGCCCCUGGUUUUCAUUGCUCCACCCCACCUCCCAGUGCUCACUCAUCCUUGAACCUUUUACAUGUGACCGCUGCAGUGCUCCUGCCUUCCAGCUCUGCUGGUGCCACGCUGGAGCCUUUGAUUGGCUCAGCAGGGUGUGUUGGGUGAGCUUGUGGCAGCUCCUGAUGCUCAACAUUUGCCUCCUGCUGCUGCCCACAGGUUGGUCCCUGCAGGUCAGGCUCCCACAUUUGGGUCUCCGGACCUCCAGCCCCCAGAACAGCCCCGUGUCUGGGCUGGGCCCGGCGCUGCCGGCAGCAGUUCCCUGCUGGAAGAUGGUGCUUUCCUUCCUGGUUUAACUUACAUCUUUAUCACUGCUUACCUGGGAGCAGAUUCUGACACCCACUUCACCACAACCUCCUCUCCACACAUACAGCCAGCACCAGGGAGCAUACAGGGGCCAUAUGGUGAGGCUGUGGCCUCUGCAACAAAGUGAGCUUUGGUGACAGCAGCAUCUAUCCGGUGAUAGAUAUCUAUUUGGUGAUAGCUGCCACGCGGGUCAUGGGCUUUUGUUUCCCAAGAGGGAACAACAGGCAAAGAAGAUUAGUAUUUUGGAAAAAUCCAACACAUGUUAAUAUCGUGACCUGCACGGUUACUGUCAAUAGAGAUGGGCUGGUGAUCUUUAAAAGGAGAUUUUCUCAGGGUGAAGGACAAACAUGACAUUAGAGUCAUCAAACUCCCCAUCUGACAAGGACAUAUAAAUUGUAAAUGGUCAGGGGCACAGAGAUCAGGCUGUCUUUCCUCCAGAUGCUUCUCCAUCGGCACAGACUGACACCUCUCAUCUGCACCUUGUGCCGUGUGCUCCCCGGGAGAGGAAUAAUUAAUUGCUGCAUCCUGGUGCCCAGCACUGCCUGCAGGUGGGAGUGCUGAGUGGGGCAGCAAGCGUGAGGAGUCCCAGGGUCCAGUCCUGGGCUCUUUGGACCUCAGGCACCCCACUGGUUCCAGUGUGCUCAGAUGGCCCCAGUCCUCAUCCCCAGUGGGGAUGUGGUUCAUGUGAAACCAGUGCCACAGCAGCCUCGUGAGCAUCAGGAAACUGCUGCAAAGCACAGCUCCCACCGCAUGGCUGUACAUCUGUGGGAACAUCAUGGGACUGAGAACUUUGUUGGAUUGGGUCUAUAUAGGAACCUCACUGGAUUGAGGAACCUCAUUGGAUUGGCUCUGCAUGUGAAUCUCAUUGGAUUGGUACUUUAUAGGAACCUCACUGGAUUUAUCCCAUCUGAGCAGGAGCACGACUGAGAUGUGUUUAGUCACUGAACUGCAAUUAAAAACGAAAAGGCAAUCAGCAUGCAUGCAGAGCCUGGGACUGUGCAGAGGAAGGAUGCUCGUUCCCUCUGUUCUGGUGAGGAGCUUCUGCCUAUGGGUGCAGCACCCUUUACAAGCCAGAAGGAAUGCAGUAAAAACCCGGGUGCUGUUCCUUGCAGGAAACCUUCAGAUGUAUCCCACUGAGCGGGCAGCAGUGUUCCCAAGCACUGCUGUCAGACUUUUCAAGUUCCCCUGCCCGUAAAUUAACGUGUUUGUCAGUGCUCACGGUUCUCAGUCGCUGUUCACGGCACAAGGCUAAGAUAGUCAUGGGGAAUUCCUAACAGAGAACAAAAUAUUCCUUAGUUUCCUAACCCGUUCAUUCAUGUGCUUGUUUAGACAGUCGCUUGCAUUCAGUUAAGAACAUUUCAAUUUACCUUUUAAGACUGUACCGGAAUAACCUAACGCGGAUGCUGCCAGUAUCCCUGAGCAACCACGCCAGCAGCCCCGGGUUAGAUUUAUGUGCACCGGAUUAAAUGACCCUUUCCUGAGCAGAAAGGAAUCAGCUGAGCAGGAAACAAAGAGCGCAAGGGGAGAGCAGAACUUCUGUCACCCUCUGCUCCUGCUCUGCAAACUGCAGUGUGAGGUGCAGGGAGGCAGAGCGGAACGGCAGAGUGAGCAAAGUGCCCACGGCCAGCAGGGAUGGGCCUAGAAAGGAACAAAGCCAUGCCCAGUGUCACCAGUAUGAACACAUUGCCUCUGUCCUCAGCACAGGUAGAAGUGUGUGCAUCUCACCAAGGGGUGGAUGUCCCCUCCGUGUGUGUGUGUCUGUGCGUGCUUUCUGAUGGGUCACAUCAGAGCGCACUGCGGUGCACGGUACCCAGUCUGGCAACUUACCGAUGCCAUCCACAUUUAAUUAGUAGACGUUUCUUCUCCGUGUGCAUAUUUACUCAAAUUCCUGUUCCUACGGCAACCCAGCAGCAGCGCAGCGCCGGGAGCAGCCUGGAAAGGCGCAGCGAGGAGCGGCCGCUCCACGUUCAGAUGGUGCAGCAAAGCCGGGCUCGGCCGGGGCAGCGCCACAAAGGCGGCUCAGAGCAGCUCCCGCUUCACGGAGCCCAUUCACAGUGUGCCCAGUUUGUGUUUAUUCAUGGGGACCGCAGCACUGGGCUGUGGGAGACGACUCACUUAGCGCUGAGCUCUCAGUAAUUGGCUAUCAGCUCAGGUAAGGGAUUUUUUUUUUUCCUCUAAUAAUCACAUUUUCAUUUUAAAAUCCCUACCAAGGGAAUGGCCGGGCAGUAUUCACCCCACUCCUAUUCACAGGCGCUCUCCUUGCCGAUGUGGUCGCAGUUGUAAAGCACACAGAAUAUCCGAGUUACCGAACGGCACCACAGCCGUUCAGAGCAGAAAAUGCUCCUUGGAAGAGGACUCACAUUGCCGCUCUGAUUUGCGUUCCUACCCGAUUUCCCUACCCGGUGUGAGCACCGCGUGCACCGAGCGGGGGGCUGAGAGGAGGUGCACACCCGGCAGUUCUGUCCUUCCCCCCUAUUUUGGUUUAUAAAUGUCCCAUUUUUGGACUCGUGGAGGAAAAUGAGAAAUAAAUGUAAGUAAGAAAAAAAGGCCGUUUUUAAAUUAGAGAAAAUCACCUCAUUUAAACACGUUUUAAUGCUUACGGCGCUCUUAUUCUUUUGCAUAAAGGUACAUUGUAAUCCUCCUGGCAGCUUUGUUUUCAAACCUGUUGGCACAAUGUAACGUGAGAGCAGAGCUGCUCGGCAGCAUACCUACAAACAGUGAAAUUAUCAGUGCAUUAUGAAGACCUCUGAAGCAUUCAUUUUUACACAGAUACCCCAGAUGUGUUACGGAUUUCAGAGGCUAAAUUGUGUAUGUAUUUUUAUGGGUGGACCUUCAAGGCAUUCUCAGGGGAAGAUCUCCCCAAUCAGCAUAAUAAGGACAAAGGCAUCAGGAAGGCUCUGAAUUAGCGGGGCAGGGAAGGAAGGGAAACUCUUCCCACCUGGCCUUUCAGCACCAUUUAUUAACUCUGGGUUGCAAGCAACAAGUUUAACGGGGGGCUCUGCAGGGAGGGGCGGCUUUGUGCUCAGACUUCCGCUGCAGAAAGUAUUUCGGUAUCGGUGAGCUGCUUUGCAGACCCCUGCGCCGGGCUGCCCUUGUGCCUGAGCUGAGCUUUUGUCUCCCUUCCACCAGCGGUCCUCUUUGUGUCAGAGCAAAGCAUGGGAGUCGCACCACGCGUGACGCCUGCAUGGCAGCACACACCGAGCCGCGGAGACGUCACACAAGCAGAUGUGCCACAGCCCUUUGGAGCAGUGAGCGAACGAACCAGUUGCACAUCUGCACUGAGCAAGCCAAAGCAUGAAUCCUGAAGGCACGAGUGGAAACAAAGAGGUCAGUGCCUUCAGAGCCCCCAGCUCUGUGCACACGGUGCCGGCCCAUUGCCCACCAGCAGCGUGGGGCUGCAGUGGGGGCUGUGGGGCUUCAUGCUGCAGCUGCCCCAGAGAAGGCCAGCAGAGACCCUGCUGGUGUGCAUCACCAUUGGAAACAAGAGGGGGAAUGGGUGUUGCUUAGCAAUGCACUACGGCACGCUCCAGUCCUGGGGAAUGGGCAAAGAGCUGUCAGAAACCCCAGCAUUAUUAUUACUAUUAUUGCAAGAGCACCCGGAUGCACACGGCGCUUUGCAGACAAAAGUAAUCGGUGGUCCUUCAGCCUGUGGAGCUGCAGUGGCACAGGAUGCUGCCCCAGGCAGCAGUGGACACGGGCUGUGGAGCAGAACAGCACAGCAUGGCCCCUUUUGGCCCUCUCCCUGCACCCACUGAUGGUGUGGGAAAGUUUCUUUCUGAGCACGUUAAAGUGAGAAGUGAGCGCUGCCAAACUUCACUUUGCAUCUCUCUGUCCCGGGCUGCUGAAGCUGCAGUGCAGCCGCUGGUGCACGGUGUUGAUCUGAGCUGGUGUGCACCUGAUUGCUUCGUUACCGGGUCGGCUGUCACAUCCAUAGGAGCAGUGUCACGUUCUGAAGGACCCAUUAACACCUGUUGUGUGUGGGGGGGUAUCCUGCAGGCUCUGCAAACCGUGCCGGCUGCUUGCUGUGCGAGAUGGACGUUUCCUUCUGGUGUGGCUGCUCUGAUGUACACACAGACACCUCGCUUCCAAAGGCAGACACACAGCUGCUGUUGCACUGGAGCAGCCCUGGUAGUGGGUCAUUGUACUGCUCUGAGCAUCUCUGGCACUGGGACCCAAAUAUAACACGAGCACUUGAUCCGGCACACAUUUCGGAUAACAGAAAACUUCCUACAGCUUUUAAUGAGUUCUGGACCGGGUCCCAGGUCGUCGUCAUGCUGUUUUGUGAAAUUACUGAGAUUUAUGUCCAGCUAUUUAAUAUCAGCCUGAAAAAAGACCCCAAAGCCCUGCCCCCGCUCAGCAACGUGUCGUGCUCCCCAGCCAAAGACUUUAAUCUUUCAUCUUGUUUGGUUUUUUCCCUCUGCGCUGAUGGUUUUUUUUCCUAACUCGGCCACCUCAGCACAACGUUUUGCAGGCACCUGGCAGAGCGCAAUGCAGCAGCUGCAGGCAGGCCGUGGCUUCCAGGAGGUCAGACGGUGAGCGGUGCAGGGCAGCCCUCCCCAUUGGGGUCCGGCAGUGCCCAUCUCCAGCUGGAGCCGCCGUGGAGGGGCCGUGCUGUGCCGGGGAGCUCCGAGCCGAUCGUUUUAAUACCAGAGCGACACCAAAGGGGGUCAAGUAAAUAAAUAUGCAUGCCUCACUAGUUCAAAAUAAUAAAAUUCCAAUGUGUGCAAGCCUGCUUGUUGAACAUAUGUUUGCGGCACGGCUAAGCCAUCUGGCUCAAUGUCAAGCAUUUACACCAACUGCAGUCUUACACUACCUGACAGCAGAAAAGCUUUAUUCCCCUGGUGUUUGGGCACAAAUGGAGAAAUAUUAUUGAAAUGAUUAUCUGCAUCAAGACUCAGAUUUGGUUUGACAUUUAGCUGGCUCUGUUUAAUCCAAAGGGUUGUCUGAAUGAAUAAAGAGAAGGGUUCCUCCAGAAGAUGCUGCGAGCGGCCGGGAGAGCCAAAUGAUUAAUGAGAGCCGGAGCCGGGCGCACCCUGCCCACCUCCACCCGCAUCGGGAAUGAGGACGCACUGCAGCCUGGUGGGAUGCGCACAGCCACAGUUCUGGGCAGAAGGGACUGGGAAGGACUGCUCCACAUCCCGGCUAAAUCCAUCUACGGGAAGUCCCAGGGCGCAUCCCUGCAUCAGAGCCGGUGCUGCAGGAGAGGAGAGCGUCCCGUGCCGUCCUGGUGCCGUGCAGAGGGCGCGUUGCAGGUCUGGAGAGGGUCCAUCCCGGCUCCUUUGUAGAAAGGUGUGCCGUGACACAGGAACAAAGGAAGAACAAGAGCGCGAAGUUUGGAGCAAGUUAAUAAAAAGCGAGUGGGAGCAGGAUUUGUUUGAACUCACAGGGCUCGCACUGACAGAGACAAAUCUAUCCGAGGAAUCAGGCGUGCUACAUCUGAAAAUAAAAUGGGAUGGAGCUGCAGAGCACGGGGUGAUGAGCAGCGUUACGGCCCAGAGAGCCGCUCUGCCUGGGAGUGCUGAGCAAAGAGCCCCUCCCUCCCCCCGGGAACGCACUGUACCAUUUUAUUCCCCUUUUUCUUUACAUUUCCACUUCCGAUCGCUGAUUUGGAUUUAAAAUUAAUUUGGUGAUUUGAGUUUAAUAAGAAUGUUAGACAUG
ensembl:lncRNA